AAAAGACAUGUUAUGACUAUCGAGCCAUCCAAAAUUUAUAUUUGACCAAGAAGCAUCUCACUGACAUAGGGUGCAACAGCAGGAUUUAAACUACUAACCUCUAAAACACGACUUUCAAUUGCAGAAAACAGCAUCUUACCUUGUUUGGAGCGUACAAGAUUUCUUAAGACCAGAGUAGCAGUAAGUGCAAUUCCAGUUGCAUCGCCUUGAUCAUCGACAGCUGUUAGUAAUAACGGGAUACGGAAUUCUCUUGAUGGAGAUAGUUUUCGUCCCUCAACCAAAGUUUCUAGUGAAUCAUCAUGAAGGUGCGUAACGAUGUGAGACAACAACUGAUAAUGCGACAGC